AUUUAAGUUUAAUUCUGGCUUUAAUAUUUUUGUUAUUUAAAUCAAUUAUAUGUGUUUUUAUAAAUUUGAUUUUAAACAGUAAUUAGAAUUUCUAAAUUUAUUUAUUUAAAUUAAGGUAUUUAUUUUUUAGUUGAUUAAUGUUGUGCCAGCAUUCGCGGUUAUACAAUUAUACUAAAAUUAAAAUUUUAAGUUUUAAUAUAUUUUAUUUGAGAUAAAGAUUAAUUUUAUUUAGGUGGAAUUUAUAUUUUUAUAUAUUAUUCUUUAUAAUUUAUUGCAAAUUUUUUUUAAAAAAUAGGAUUAGAUACCCUAGUAUUAAUUAUUUAAAUUUUAAGCUAGAAUAAAAGUAGUUUUCUUCAUAACUCAAAGAAUUUGGCGGCUAAUUUAAUUCAGAGGAAUCUGUAUAUUAAUUGAUAAACCACGAUAUUUUAUACUUUCUAUUUAUUUAUAUACCUCUAUAUUUAUAGAAUGUUUUUAUAGAAUAAUUUUCUUUAGGAUAAAUCAUUAAUUUUAGGUCAAGGUGUAGUUUUUAGAAUGUUUAUAUGGAUUACGUAAGUUUUAAUUAUAAUUUUAUUUUAACAUUGUUGUUUAAUAUUAUUUAUAGGAUUUGAUAGUAAAUUUAAUUAAUUAAUUAUUUUUAAUUUUAUUAUAAUUAGUGUACAUAUUGCCCGUCACUCCUAUAUAGGAUAAGUCGUAACAAAGUAAUUUUACCGGAAGGUGAGGUUAGAUAAA
rnacentral:ncRNA from 1 species